GCCGCCCUUUGAACCGGGAGGGCAGAGGAGUUGGUAGGCAGGACCCAGAGCCCUGAAGCCAGAGGAACUCCAGGCCAGAGGAGUGGAGCCCCCACGUCCUGCCCAGACCCUCCUCACCGAGCCUCAGUUUCCCCAUCCGUACCACCUCCUCGAGGGACCGAUGGUGAGGGACACCCUUCCCCCUUCCUCUGCCUUUCUGUCUUUUCCAAAACAAAUCCAAGUUAAGGGUGGGAAGCCGGAAGCAGACAGCAGCCGCAAGGGCUGGCAGCAGCGGGAAAGGCCAUGAGCUGUGGCUGCCGUGAAUCCUGCCUCCACUUUGGCCAGAGGCCUGUGCCUGUCACACGAGUUGGUGAAUAGGAACGAAGCACAUCUGUACCUAAACACAAAACUUCUAAGCCCUAGUUUUCGAUUCCUGCCAUCUUAGACCCCUGGUUCUCCCCUGUGUGCUGCCCGCAGGCUGCCCUGGACCUUGCGUCAGCAGCCACCACACAUGGCACCCUGCCAAUCUCCAGGACCCAGAGAGGAGGAAGCCAGAGCCAGCCCUCAGGCAUCUGGCAACCUCCCCCUGACCACCCUCCCCGAGGAUGGCCCACACUGGGAACAGUGCUGACCCAAAGCCCCAGACGCCUCAGACCAGCGGCGCAGUCGGCAGUCGGCAGGCUACCUGACCCCAGGCCCCAGCCGGGCUGCCCCUCCCCCUCUAGGUGGCACAGGAACAGGGCUUUCAGCCACUGUUCUGCUCCUCCCCUCAAAAAUGCAGACCUGGCCACACUGUCCUGGACUGUGAGGACUAGCAUGCAUUUAUUUGACAAAAAAGUCAUUCAAAAAUGCUGCCAUCUACUAGCCAUCAUUUUACAAAGCAAACGUUUUAACUCCAACAAGUGGGGAGGAUACAGCCUUGGGACAGAGGAUGCUCCCUUUAAAUCGCACAGGUUUAAGCUCAGCUUUCUGGAGAAUUCACUGCAUUCCAGUGACCAUGGGUGGGGAGGGAACUGGCUCGGCUCUGAGGGCCCUCCAUGGCCUGGCUGGUGCAGCUUCCUGCUCUGCAAACCCGCAGGGCUGUCUGGCAGCCCCCUCUCCUCUCUCCCUUCUCUCUCUGACUCCUCUACUCAGCCACUUCUCUCCACCUGUGGGAGCGAACACGGUGCUGAAUAUCCAGUGUGAUGGGAGCUCAGGGAGUAGUCAGAGAGGGCUUCCUGAAGGAAUCGCCUGGGAAUGGGGGAGAGGAAGCGUCGUGCCCUGUUCCUGGAGUAGGUGGAAGGCAGGAGGAGCUGGUGGCUUCCAGCCUGGUGGAGCCUGAGUGGGCGAGAACAGCCUGGUCCAGGUGCAGCCCAGAGCAAGAUUGGCACAGGCCCUGAGGAGACCCAAGAAAGCAGAGUCAAGGAUCUGGAGCCUUUUCUCUUCGAGGCUGAGGUGGGGCUGCCUUGCCCCCUCCCAGGGCCCCACGCAUGGGAGGACUGACUGAGAUGUGGGAGUGGAGCACCCAGGAUGGGGGCAGAGAGCCCUUGGCAGUGCUGUCCCCUCACUGCACUGCAGGUGCAUACCUGUGUGUUUGCACGUGACUGAGCACACAUGUGACUGAGUGUGUGCAUGCACACACAAGCGUGUGAAGCCCAGAAGAGGAAGGCAGGCAGAGCCACAAGGGAGGGGACUGGGGGAGGGACCCCAGAAGAAGGCCAGUGCAGGUGGUCCAGGCCCCAGACCCUCUGGGGUGCCUGAGAGGCAAUGAGGCCUUCGCCAUCCCAGGGGACAUCCCCUGGAGCCUCAGGAGACCCCCGCUGCCCUUGCCUCUAUUGGCUCCUGUGACCGGGGAGGCCCUGAGCCCUUCCCCAAAGGCACAGAGAUUUGAACCCAGGCCCAGAGGCUGUACCGCCCCUGAGGUGGGCCAGGUAGGAGUUGGAGUCCUCUCUCCAAGAAGCCCCUUCCUCUGUGUGUCCCCAGACCCCCCAGGGGAUGCUCCAGCACUGAGGCUCAGGGGGUCCCAGUGCACCUGCGACACUGCAGGUGGCUAAGGCCCCUGAAGGACCCACAGCACUGGACACUGGAGAUAGCAGGGUGCCCAGGACCCAAGAUGGGCCUGGGGAAGGGGGUCAGGAUGCCACCCCAGCAAGCGGCUGCACUCUCCAGGAAGCCCUCUCCGAGGACUGAUUUGGUGAGAGGGACGAGAAGAUGGACCCCAAGGAGCCGCCUCUGCGUGCCUUGCUCCAGGCUCUGCUUCAGUCCACAGGGGCAUGGCCUGUGGGGCAUGGAGGUCGGCAGGGGGACAGGCAGAACUUCGGCCCUCUGACGGACACUGCUUAUCACCGGCCUGACCCGCAUCGGAAGGCCGCCUCCCGGUCUCCCCUUCUCCCCUUCCUCCCUUGUCCUGCGUGCUGCAUGCAGACCCAGAGUGGAGCCUCCGCCCCCCAGCUGCCCUCUGCCUUUGUCUCCUCUGCACCUGGUGGGGCUCGGGUUUCCCCCAUCGGCUCUUGCCCCGGGCCAUCCCAACACUCCCCGCCCUCCGGGCCAGCAUGGUCCUGAGGCCCCCCAAAUCGCCCCCUGCCCUGUUGGGUGGAAAACCAAGGGUGGGGCGUGGACAGGUGUGCAGACUCAGGCCCAGGUGCGCACAGUCCUAGUCUCGAUGCCACCCCGCCGGCCAGCAGGGUGCGGUCCAGCGUCCCCACAAAGGUGCCAAGUGAGGCUGAGUGCCCAGGGCCCACUGACAGCCUGGCCAGGGAAGGCCUCCGGGCCUCCUGCCCCCACCAGCCUGCGCCCCAGGCUCCCGAGCAGCCCGGAAGGGUUAAGCCGGCCUGGGGACCGCGCCUUUGUUUGCGGAUCUGCACCUGCGCUUGAAUUAACCUGGACAAUGAAGGCGAGACUGCACGAGUCCCACCCGAAAAAGGAUCCACCCUCCUGUGGGCCCCAGGGGACCAGAGCCCCCCACACCUGCCUCCAACCAGCAGCAGAAGGCACAUCUGCUCGCUCACGUCAGAGAAGUUUUCAGUUCUGCGCUGGGAUUCUACCUGGUGGGCAGGUUUUGGGGUGUCUGCCCAGCAAGCCUGCAGCCUCCACCCUGUGCCCCUGGGGCUGCUGCUCUGGUGGGAACACCCGCUGUACCCAGAGAGCUGAGGCCCCCACCCCCUGCUCUGGGCUCCUUUUGCAGGGGGUGGGUGGUGGGGGUGGGGGUGAUCAGAGCUUCUGGGGUAAAGCCCCUCCCAGCACCCACAGGACCUUCUGCGCCCACAGUGAGGCCUUCGCUGCCCUCAGGACACACACCAGAGCUGCCCGCACUCAGUCUUUAUCCUGAGGCUUGAGGGCUGACCAUCCCAGCUGGCCCCAGCCCGCCCACCGGGUGUGGCCCCACAGGCCCCUCCCCAGGGCAAGGGUCCUCCACUCACUGUGCCCCAAUCACUCCCAUCCUCCCUCCAGGGCCACCUCCUAGCAGCCCUCCCCGGACCGCCCCAGGGCACACGGACAGCUGGGGAACAAAUGGCUCCUUUUGGCCUCAGAGGGCGCGUGUGGACAUGAGGCUGCCGAUGAGGAUGCCCUCCCUCAGUUGCCUCUGCACGCUCCCACGUGCCCCGUCAAUUCUGUCAAUUCUGCCCGAGCUCAGCAGGGGCUGUGGUGGGCCCCUCAGCCCAGGCCUAGGCAGCACCAGCCCCGCUGGGGCCGCGGACCACGGUGCCAGGGCCCCAAGACCUCUGCUUUCUGAGUGGGGCACCUGUGCUGCUACAGUUCAUGUUCCACUCAGGCCCACAUGGGAGGAACCGUGAGCUCCGGGCCCCUCGCCCAGCGGUGCUGGAUGAUUCACAUCUCUUCCCAGCUCAGGGCUCACGGCCGCACCUGGCAGCUUGACCGCCACAGUGGGUGUUAACACCAUGGAAAUGGGCAAAUGAUGGUCAGGCCCCACCCGAGGGCCAGCUGUUAAGCAUUUACCAGCCCACCAUGGCCUGGAACCGUCCCAUGCCAGACCCUCUGAGACACAUUCCUGGGGAGGAGGUGGCAAGACCCUCCAGUCCCCAUCCAGGAAAGGGUCAGGGGUAUGGGGGCACUGGUCUCCUGCAGGCCCAACGGACAUGGCCACCAAAUGAUCCUGGGAAGCCUCGGGCCUGGUCAGCAGGGCAGUUGGAGCCAUGGACAGUGGCCUUGGGACCUGGUUUUCUAAGAGCCCUGGGGGAUAGUCAGAGGCUGCAGGCGGGACACCUGCCCUGGGAGGUGGGAUCACAAGGUGGGGGUCUCCUAGACACAGAGGCCUCAGUGCCAUCCAGUACCAUGGAGGUUAAAACUUGUUGAAGCCACAAGUGUGGAUGGUCUGGGCCCAGGUUGGAGCAGCCCCCGAGGAUCCCAUACAUGGCUGGGGAGGGGUGAGGCCAUGGCUCAGGAAGGGUCAGGCAGCCCUCUACACCCUCCUCACCACCCCAGCCUCAGGAAGAAGCCGUGCUGCCUCACGAAUGGGACAUCCAGUGAGAUGAGUGUGGGGGCCACAGACCUGGCUCCUGGCCUCUGAAUGCCGUUUCUGCAGGGGCGGGCUCUGUGGAAACAUGGGCCCUGAUGAUGCCUUCUGAGGGUGCUCUGGGAACCUGUUCAGCAGGAUGCUGGAAAGAACUGGUGCCCAUCCCAGGGGACCCAAGGGGGUCCUACAGGUGCAGCUGCAGGUCAGGGGGAAGUCCUGAGAUGCCCCGUGAAUAAUGAGAGCUCUUGAGGUGCAGGCUGUGCCCAGGGUCUGCUGCCUGGGUGGGGCACAUGGGAGACCUUCCCUCCCUUGAGGCCACCUUGCCUGCCAGGGGACCACACAGUGGUAUCCUAUGAGGCAGGAGCAGCCCCUGUGGGAUGUUAUUGGUGAGAAGCAAUGAGAUCUGGUUUUGCAAGGUGGUGGGGGGAGGCGGGGAGAAGGGCUGAGAGUGGCCAUGUGGGGAGCCAGUGAGCAUGCUGGUGGAGGGAGGGGAUGGGCACCGGGACCCUGCAAGGGGCCGUGGCGUGGUGGUGAUGUUUCAUUGUGCUGUUUACAUGGGCCUCCGUGUCUUCGGAGGGAGAGCAAACCUUGGCGUCUUCCUGACCACUGACCACACGCAUGAACUCACAGCAAAUUAAUCAAAUCAUUCUUUUCCAGGAAAACAAACACAGAAUCCAUGUUCAGGACAUUUCCCCUCCCCAGACAAUGACCCACUGGGUGAAACUCCAGAAAACUGCCUCGUCCACACAGACCUGGGAAGCCCAGACCCAGCCUGUGGGCAGUCAGAUGGUGGUCCCCAGAGUUCCUGCUGCUGGUCCAGCACAGCUGGCAGGUUAUAGGGGAGGGUCAUGUCCCCCUGGGAGGCUCAGGAGGCAGAUUUCUGCAGAAAGAGUUAAAAAGCCAUCCAGGGUUAGUCACACAGAGGAGGAGGUGACACAUUCACAUUCGAGGGCUGAGGAGCGUUGUCCUGGUGCCUGUGUACGACCUGCUCCUCCUCCAGGAGCGGAGCUGCAGAGGCCCGGGGCUGAUGGGGAAGGCACCACGCCCUGCCAAGCUCCCAGCCUCUCGCAGGGCCUCCCCUGCAGCGGCUCAGACGACGCUGUCCACCUGGGAGCAUCACCCUCACAGUGACCCCACUUGGGAACCAAAGACACGGGGCCCAGGAGGCCAAAGACAGGAGGCCCAGGCCCCCACUGGGGCACCCUGGACAGACCAGGUCCCACCGGGGCACCAUGGACAGACCAGGCCCCCACCACGGCAGCACCCUGCACUCCUGAAUCUCCAGGUCACCCACCAAGUCAUUUCCUCUGUGUCUUUUCCUUGUUCCAAGCUCUCCACCUCCCUGAACCCGAGCACACAUGGCCUGGAGGAUAUACUGUGUGACUGUGCAUUUUACGGCAGUUUUACAAGAGUGACGUGUCAUAUGAACUUUCCACCUGUGUCUGGGAUGCCCCUGAGUCACCUGGACACGUCUCUUCCAUGGAAGGCUGCACAGGCAGAUGCUGUUAUGACUGAACUGUGUCGCCCCUAAAUUCUCACGCUGAAGCUUUGACCCCCAGAAUCUCAGAAUAUGACUUGAAGGCCCUUGAAGAUUGGGCCUUUAAAGAGUGACUCAGUGAAACCAGGCUGAUAGGUUGGGCUCAAACCCAGUCUGACUGGUGUCCUUGUAAGAAGAGGAGAUGUGGACGCAGACACGCUGAGGGGAGGAGGCUGCAGGGAGGGACAGCCGUCUGCAGGCGAAGGAGAGAGGCCUUGGGGGCAACCGGUGCUGCUGACACCAUGAUCUCGGAGCUCGGCCUCCAGGAUGGUGAGACAUGCAUUCCCGCCCCAGCCUGUGGCGUUGUCGUGGCAGUGGAGCCCACCGCACACCCAGCAUGCCAGCGCCGUGGGUGCCCAGCAUGCCAGCGCCGUGGGUGCCCAGCAUGCCAGCGCCAUGGGUGCCCAGCAUGCCAAGGGGCUGGAUUCGCAGAUGCUCCUGGCUGUAGCUGAUGUGGCCGGACCACAGUGCUCCGCAUUCCUCUCGGCACACAAGGCUCGCCUGCCCCACAUCAGCCCCUGUGGCCAUCAGCACUUUUGCUUUUUCAUUUUUGCCAGUGUGACAUGUCCCAAGUGACACCUCACCCCUCAUGAAGCCAGUGCCCACCCAGGUCCCUUCCAGCAACGCACAGCCCCUGCUGCCCAGGGCAGGCCACCCUCGUGGUGACGACCAACUCCCGGGCAGGGUUGCCCCCAAGCCAACAGCUCCGUCCUCUCCCAGUCCUCCGCACUCCUGAGGUAUCUCCCCAGAGGCCCCCACCUCCAGAUGCCCCUGUCCCAGAGAGCAGCCCCCGUGUCUGUGGUGCUCGCUUCCCUGACAGCCAGUGCACCCGAAACCUUCUCAGGUCUGAUGGCUCGUGGACUUGCUCGUUGGUUCGCCCAGUCAAAGCCCUCUCCCAUCUUCCCAUAGAGUUUGUCUCUUUCUUGACAACUUAUAAGAGUUCUUAGUACAGGGGCUGGCCCCGUGGUUGAGUGGUUAAGUAUGUGCACUCUGCUUCGGCGGCCCAGGGUUUUGCUGGUUCGGAUCCUGGUUGCGGACAGGGCACUGCUCGUCUGGCCAUGCUGAGGUAUCAUCCCACAUGCCACAACUAGAAAGACCCACAAUGAAAAAUACACAACUAUGUACCAGGGGGUGGGGGGCUUUGGGAGAAAAAGGAAAAAUAAAAUCUUAAAAAAAAAAAAGUUCUUAGUACAAUAUGGACUUUAGCUAUCUGUCACCUUAAUUAAACUAGUUUCUCAAAUCAAUGAUUUGUCUGCUGACUUGGCUUGUGGAAUAUUUUGCUACAUUCAAGUUUCAAGUUUGAUAUAGUUAAGUGUGACUGUAGGGAAAUAUGGAAGUAUAUAUAUAAGAGAUUACUGUGUUUCUCCAGACAGAGUCUGUAUAAGGAGAAGAAAACCAAAAAAAUUAAUAUCCUCAAAGAGAUGAGAGAAAGUAUCGUGACCACAGAAAAAGAUCAGAAUGCUACAGAAGUAAUUAUUCAGAGAACAAAAACAAGCUCUUGGAAAUAAACGUGACGGCAGAAAUGAAAAGCUCAGUGAAGGAGCUGGAAGUCAGAGUUCAAGCGUCUCCUUGAAAGUAAAGCCAAAGACCAAAAAAAAAAAGGAAAUAGGAAAGGUUUUUGGAGUCCAGUCUGAGAGGCCCGAGAUCCUGACAGUGUUUACCACAGAAAGAGGGAGAGAGAAGACACAGGGAGGAGAUAAUUUAAAAUUAGUAAUUCAGGGGCCGGCCUGGUGGUGCGGUGGUUAAGUGUGCACGUUCUGCUUUGGUGGCCCAGGGUUCGCCGGUUCAGAUCCCUGGUGCUCGGCAAGCCAUGCUGUGGUAGGCGUCCCACAUACAAAGUAGAGGAAGAUGGGCAUGGAUGUUAGCUCAGGGCCAGUCUUCCUCAGCAAAAAGAGGAGGAUUGGCAGCAGAUGUUAGCUCAGGGCUAAUCUUCCUCAAAAAAAAAAAAAAAAAUUAGUAAUUCAAGAAAAUUUCUGGAACUGAAAGACAGGAAUUUCCAGAUUGAAAGAGCUGCUGGGCACCUAGCAAUGGGAUGAAAAUGAAGCCACAGAAAGGCCAUUUUCAUGAACUGUGAGAACACUGAGGACAAAAAGAAGCCCUAAAACUUCAAGCCAGGAAAACCAACUGGGAGCAGCUCCAGUGGCCUGGUGGUUAUAGUUUGGAUGCUCGGCUUCGGCGGCCUGGGUUUGGUGUCCCCUGUCAGUAUUGUCUGUCAGUAGCCAUGCUGUGGUGGUGGCUCACAUAGGAGAACCAGAAGGACCUACAACUAUGUACUGGGACUUUGGGGAGAAAAGAAAGAGGAAGGUUGGCAACAGAUGGUAACUCAGGGCAAACCUUUCCCAACAACAACAAAAAAAGAAAAAAUGAAAAACCGAGUGGGUUUCACACCAUGGAUCAGCAGUGACAAUAACAUCGCAUUUACCCACAGCAGCAUUGGAAGCCGGGAGAUGCGAGGACAAUGUUCUCACAGCUCGGAGGGAAAAUGGUGACUGUGCUGGAGUUUUAUACCCAACCAAACUGUCAUCUGGUGAGCAUGGACUAAAGGCAUUUUAAAGCCACGUGUCUGCCUGCCAUGUGCCCUUUCUCAGGAAACUACUGAAGGACUACUCCACCAAACAAGGAGUAAACUGAGAAAGGGGAAGGCAUGGGAUCCCGGAAAAUCCAACCCAGGGAAGAAGCAAAGGGAAUCUUUAGGAUGAAGACCAAGGGAGCUCUCAAGGUGCCAGCCCUGCCACAGACCCAGGCAGGAUGGUCCAGGACUGCGCAGGUGGGGGCUCCUGCAGGGACCUCCUUGGAAAUACCCUUGUGUUAGAACGUAAGCCACUGGUGGGAGCCUGAGGGUGAACUGGUGAUGAGUUCAGAGAAAACUCAGCUGGCACGAAAAAAGAAAGGCAAUUAUUAACUCCAGGGAAAACAGCGCAUCUGUGGGUAGGAACAGUAACCAUGGCAUGCCACAGGCCUGGCGUGAAUGCAAAUCUAAUUGCUGAAUACAGAGCUAACUAGAGAUAUAAGGUAACUCUGUUGGGAAUAUAGGAGGACCCAAGUGUGUGUGGGAGUGGGGAGAAGUGAAGAAAUAAUUGGCAUCUUCCUUAGAGUGAAUUUAACAGAUAGCACCUGAGACGGAAACACUGAGAAGCUGAUAUUCAGUCACGUUCUCACGCAGACGCUGGCACAGGAGUCGCAUGGGAAGAUGGAAGUGGUUGCCCGUGGGGCUGGUGUCGAGGGUCUGGCAGAGGCUGGAUUUGUUCAAGCCUCACAGAAAUGUCUGACUCUUAAACUACAUACAAGUAUAACUUUGAUAAAAAAUGAAACUAAACAUUCAGUUGGUGCACUCCCCAUCCUCUGAGGCCUGGCAGUCAUUUCAGCAAAACGGAAAUGACCUGUAAUGAAAGGUCAGCUGGAACUUGGCUGUGAAUGUAUCUGUUCUCAUUCCAUUUUCAAGGAAAUGUCUCUGAGCACCUUUCCUGACUCUUCUACGUAACAGGCCACCUCACAUUUCCACCCCCCUUUUGAUAGUUGAUAUUCUGCUGGACAGCAUCCAUUUCUCUGGGUUUUCCCAGUAUGGGGCCACAUGCAGUCCAGCACCCCCAGCCCACUGUCCACCCUCCGGGUCAGGCACGGUCUCCAUGGCGGCCACUCAUUUUGCUGCGUGGCCGUGAGGCUGUGUCGCUAUGGCGCUACCCUGUGCCUCGGGCCUCAUCUCAGUUCACUGUGCCUGUGUUACCAUGGCACCCUGGGCACUGAAUCUCGGCAGGAUUGAAUUCCACACAUAGACGUGUGUCUUGUCAAACAGGAUAAAUAUGGUUUCCUUGCAAGAGUGUCUGGCCGUUGUCGUGUCCAGGAAACGUAAACCAAGCCAUCUGGGUCUUGCUCCCUGCCUCCAGGGCCCCCAGGUUUCAGGCUGUCAUCUUCAGGGAUGGCUGGGUCAUAAAUAGGCCCGUGAACAGUUUAGGCCCUUCCCACAGGAAGUUCAGAAACACACACAAACGUCACAGAGGUCCAAGACCCCGACUUCUCCUGGGGAGCCCUGGCAUCACCUCGCAGCCUUUCCAUGGAGAAGACUGGGGCUGAAUUUCCAACAGGCCACGGUGCUGUGGGGUCUCGGCAGCCCGGCCGACCAGCACUGGCCCAUUUUCAAGCCCCAGCUUUCCCAUCUGUUUUCAAACACUCCCACGUGUGUGUGGGCACAAUCCCCACCCAUCCCCCCAACAAAUAGCAUAAAUGGCCGCUUUCUGUAAGACUGUCCAGCAAGGGCAUCCACUUCCAGAGGCCCCCACCUUCUCCCGUGGGCUCCUUGCCGCCCAGGGCACAGCCCCAUGCUCACAGCUGGGACCUUUCCAGAGUCCCUGAUGCCCCAGUGCCACCAGCAGCAUCAGGACACCUCAGAGACAGCAGGCUGGACCGCGGCUCAGAAGGGAAAGCUUCGGAAUGGGCGCUGGUGGGGGUGGGGCACGGGUUCUGGAGCCAGCUCCGUCCAGAAGCGAUCAGGUAACCUCGGACCCCAGGAGACAAACCUCUCCGGACGCUCCCCAUGAGCCUCAGUCCUACCUGGUUCCCGAGGAUGGCGGCAUCCCGGCACGGCUCCUCAGGGCACCCGCUCUGCCUUAUCAUGGCCUGGCUGGUCGGAAUGCGGUGGAAACCUUUGCCUGGUACAAGCGGCCUCUGCAACACAGCCCAGGAAUUUUGCAUUGAAUAAUUUUUAACUUCUGCUCUGAGAGAAAACCAGGGUUGUGUAAAGUGUCUGUCUACACAGGAAUGCCAAGGGGCUUUCAUUUGCAAGUAAAUACCUCAAUAAUAACGAGGAAAACUGCCUUGGGGGAAAAAAGAAGAAAAAACAGAGAAAGAAAGUGCUCACAGGGCCUCAGGGCCCUGCCGGUCAGGCGGUCUUACCUCUCCCCCAGGGAAGUGAGGGCAGCGUCUCAGCCGGGGACCCGCAUGGUGGACGGGCUUCUCUGGGGGCCGGCCCGCCUGGCGACUGCUCCCACUCCGCAUCCCCCCACCUCCCCUGGCCUCUGACCCCAUGCCCCGUCCUGCCAUUUCUUUCAACAGCUUCAAAUUUCAGAAACUGCCGGAGCCAGGCACCACCCCGGCGACCUGCCACCGCCUCCAGCACUCCCUGGGCUGCUCUGCACUCUUCCGUGGCUCGGACCGAGACCCUGUGACUGGACGUGACAGAGGCCGCACGCAGCUCCUGUAGGCCCUGUCGCCACAUGGGGGCUGGCCCUGCUCCGAUGACCAUCACCCAGCGAGCUGGAACAUGCACAGCCCCAAACCAGAGUUUUCCUUUAAAAAGACCUCCAGUUCCUCCAGCUCUGGGUCAGGCGUGACAGUCGCUCAUAGUACCCAGGACAGUGGGAAGCUCGCCUCGCAGUGACCCGGCUGGGCCAGGCGGGUGGACGGGACAGCAGUAGGCCCUCUGUCCAAGGAGGCGGACACUCUUCCAGCAAGGCCCACGCUGGGAACCAUCCUCGGGGACAAGCAUGGGGCAGGCCCUCAGGACCCGCGCUCUUGAGGGUGGUUGUGGAGGGCCGAGUGAGGAAGAGGACACGGAGCAGACCCAGCAUCGGAUUUCAGGAUGUGUCAGCGUAGCCCUGGAGCCGCUGAUAGGCUGCUAGCGUUGCGUGGAGCCCACCACGGCCGCAGCCCCACGCCCAGCUCUGCAGGGACGGCCCCAGCCCGGCUGCCCUGCUGGCCCCUGGAACCCUGUACACACUGGGCCCAUGGCCUGCACAUGCACCAGUGCGCCACACUGGGCAGGUGGAGGCUGAGAGAGCCCUUCUCGUGACUCACUUGCAUUUCUCUAACUGCUGAUGAGCUUGGCCGUGCCCCUGUGCCAGGCCUUCCAGUUCAGGGUCUCUUCUUCUGGACGUGCUCACCCAUGGCCUUUGCUCGCUUCCUUCUGUGUUUGUGAGAUGUCUAUCCUCUUCCUGUAAAAAUGCAAAAUCCCUUGUAUGUCCCAGACCAGAGUACCUAUGGAUUUGCACAUGUCAAUUAUCUCUCGGUUCUGUCGUGUCCGUUGGGCAGGAAACCCUGAUUCUGAUGUGAUCAAAUGUGUCCACUUCUCGCCGACAGUUUGUGUGUCUGAGGUUUGGUUUAGGCCCUCCCUCCCCGUCCCUCCAGGCCACCAGGCAUCACCAGUGGUUCUUCGAAGGUGGCUGACCCGCACGUGCGAUCCGGGACUCGUUCUGUUUUGCCCACAGCACGAGCCUGUCCCCAGACCCCAUCCCGGCACUGUCAUCCUGUAUUAAACACACACGACCUCAGGUCUGUCCCCAGACUCUCGCUCCUGGGCCCGCGUGUCCUUCUUGCCCAGCUCCCCUGGUUUCGUAACCACCGCUUUGCCAUGUGCCCGGACACCUGGAAGAGUGAGCUCCUCUCUUCCCUUUUUUUUUUUUUUUAAGGUUUACUUAGUUAUUUGUGCCUUUUUCUUCCAUAACUUUUAGAGUAAGUUUAUCUAGUCCGACGGUAAUUUUCAGUAGGGUUGCGUGGACCUACCAGGUUAAUCAGGAAAGACUGAGGUCAAUCCAAGAACAUGGACUCUCCGUGGCCUCAGAUCAGCAUCCGUGGCCUGUAUUUGAGCUUACAGCUCUCUCCAUAGAGGCUGUGUAUAUUCCAGCUUAUGUUAAUUCCUAGGUACUUUAUCAUAUUCCUUGCUAUUUUGAAUUCUUUUUUUUCUAAUUGGUUAUUGCUGGUAUAGAGCAAUAUUGUUGGUUUUUUCUUUUUUUAAAAAUUGAGGUGAAAUUUACAUAAUAUAAAAUUAACAUUUUAAAGUGUAUGUUCUGGUGGCUGUUAGUGGCAAGGUUGUGUAGCCACCACUGCCUCUCUCUAUUUCCAGAACAUCUUCAUCACUCCAAAGCAAGCCAGUACCCACGAGCGUCCCUCCCUGUUCCCCACGCCCCAGCCCCUGGCAACCACCAAUCUACUGUCUGUUUCUAUGGAUUUGCCUAUUCUGGAUAUUUCAUAUAAAUGGAAUCAUACAAUAUGUGGCCUUCUCUGUCUGGCUUCUUUAUAAUACUAUUGAUUUUUUUAUUGUGAUAAAAUACACAUAAAAUUUACCAUUUUAACCAUUUUUAAGUACAUAGUUCAGUGACAGUAAGCACUUUCACAUUAUUGUGCAACCCUCACCCCCCCAUCUCCAGAACUCCUUCAUCCUCCCAAACAGAAACUCCGUCCCCAUUAAACACUAACUCCCAUCCCCCUCCUCCAACACCCCACCCUCCAUUCCACUUCCUGUCUCUGAAUCUGAUGACUCGAGGGACCUCAUAUGAGUGGAAUCAGCCGUAUUUGUCUUUUUGUGACUGGCUUAUUUUACUCAACACAAUGUCUUCAAGAUAAUACUGUCGAUUUUUGUAGGUUGGUCUUUUAUUCAGCAAUUUUAUUGGACUGUUAUUCUAAUAUUUGCCCAUCAAUUCUAUUGGUUUUUCUAGAUAAAAACCAAUAGAAUUUUUAUCUCUUCUCUUAUAACUGGCAUGCCUCUCAUUUAUUUUUCUUUAUCACGUUGGCUAUGAUCUCCAGCACUGUAUGAGGCAGUACCAUGAUAUGAGAUCACUCUCGACCUGACCCAGAUCUUAAAGAGAAUGCACCGGAAGUCUCUCCACUUAGUGUCACGUUUGCUAUGAGGUUUUGGCGUGUGAGCUUUAUCACAUUAGUGAACUUCCCUUUUAUCACUAGUUUGCUAGAGGUAUUUUUCAAAUUAUAAAUAGAUAGUGAAAUUUAUUAAAAGCUUUUUCUGCAUCAACUGAGGUGACUACAUCUUCUCCUUUAAUCUAUCAAACCAUCCUUGCAUUCUUACGACAAAGCCAUUGGACCAUGAUAUAUCUUUUUAGUACACUGUUGCACAGAGGAUCUUGAUGCUACGAGCCAGACCCUACAUCCUCUUCACCACAGGGCCGCACAGCAGGACCCACCUCCUCACUGCACUGCUUGACCGUCCUCCGCCCUGACCGCUCCUUGGCCUUCCCUGACCUGUGUGAAGGUGGGCAAUGCACAGGAGUCAGGGUAGGCUCAAGACACC
rnacentral:lncRNA from 1 species